GAUGAAGAACGCAGCGAAAUGCGAUACGUAAUGUGAAUUGCAAAUUCAGUGAAUCAUCGAGUCUUUGAACGCACAUUGCGCCCCCUGGUAUUCCGGGGGGCAUGCCUGUCCGAGCGUCAUUGCUGCCCUCAAGCACGGCUUGUGUGUUGGGCCCCGUCCUCCGAUCCCGGGGGACGGGCCCGAAAGGCAGCGGCGGCACCGCGUCCGGUCCUCGAGCGUAUGGGGCUUUGUCACCCGCUCUGUAGGCCCGGCCGGCGCUUGCCGAUCAACCCAAAUUUUUUAUCCAGGUUGACCUCAGAUCAGGUAGGGAUACCCGCUGAACUUAAGCAUAUCAAUAAGCGGAGGA
rnacentral:misc_RNA from 1 species